GCCCCGAUGGUGAAACAGGUAGACACAGCGGACUUAAAAUCCGCCGCUUGCUGCAUAAGCGGCGUGCCGGUUCGAUUCCGGCUCGGGGCACCA
rnacentral:tRNA from 7 species